rnacentral:rRNA from 1 species
GACGAACGCUGGCGGCGUGCUUAACACAUGCGAGUCGAGCGGUAAGGCCCUUUCGGGGGUACACGAGCGGCGAACGGGUGAGUAACACGUGGGUGACCUGCCCUCCACUCUGGGAUAAGCCCGGGAAACUGGGUCUAAUACCGGAUAGGACACAUGAUCGCAUGGUUGUGUGUGGAAAGUUUUUUCGGUGGGGGAUGGGCCCGCGGCCUAUCAGCUUGUUGGUGGGGUGAUGGCCUACCAAGGCGGUGACGGGUAGCCGGCCUGAGAGGGCGACCGGCCACACUGGGACUGAGACACGGCCCAGACUCCUACGGGAGGCAGCAGUGGGGAAUAUUGCGCAAUGGGCGGAAGCCUGACGCAGCGACGCCGCGUGGGGGAUGACGGCCUUCGGGUUGUAAACCUCUUUCGCCAUCGACGAAGCCUUUCGGGGUGACGGUAGGUGGAGAAGAAGCACCGGCCAACUACGUGCCAGCAGCCGCAGUAAAAC